UCCCACAAAUACUGUACUUUUGAUCUGCAUUUGGUUAAAAAAUAUCUGUGUAUAAGUGGACCCUCACAGUUCAAACCCAUGUUGUUCAAGGGCCAACUGUAUUUCUACA
rnacentral:pre_miRNA from 10 species